rnacentral:rRNA from 1 species
UGGCUCAGGAUGAACGCUGGCGGCGUGCUUAACACAUGCAAGUCGAACGAAGCUCCUAAUCUUGCGUUUUCGGACAAGAGAGAGGGAUGACUUAGUGGCGGACGGGUGAGUAAUGCGUGAGCAACCUGCCCUUCAGAGGGGGACAACAGUUGGAAACGACUGCUAAUACCGCAUAAAGUAUCGAGAAGGCAUCUUCAUGAUACCAAAGAUUUAUCGCUGAAGGAUGGGCUCACGUCUGAUUAGCUAGUUGGUGAGGUAAUGGCUCACCAAGGCUGCGAUCAGUAGCCGGACUGAGAGGUUGACCGGCCACAUUGGGACUGAGAUACGGCCCAGACUCCUACGGGAGGCAGCAGUGGGGAAUAUUGGGCAAUGGGCGCAAGCCCUGACCCAGCAACGCCGCGUGAAGGAAGAAGGCUUUCGGGUUGUAAACUUCUUUUGGCAGGGACGAAGAAAGUGACGGUACCUGCAGAAUAAGCACCGGCUAACUACGUGCCAGCCGCGGC